CCUACGGGAGGCAGCAGUGAGGAAUAUUGGUCAAUGGACGAGAGUCUGAACCAGCCAAAUCGCGUGAAGGAUGACUGCCCAAAGUGUUGUAAACUUCUUUUAUAAGGGAAUAAAACGAGGCACGUGUGCCUGUUUGCAUGUACUUUAUGAAUAAGCAUCGGCUAACUCCGUGCCAGCAGCCGCGGUAAUACGGAGGAUCCGAGCGUUAUCCGGAUUUAUUGGGUUUAAAGGGAGCGUAGACGGGUUGUUAAGUCAGUUGUGAAAGUUUGCGGCUCAACCGUAAAAUUGCACUUGAUACUGGCAGUCUUGAGUACAGUAGAGGUAGGCGGAAUGCGUGGUGUAGCGGUGAAAUGCUUAGAUAUCACGAAGAACCCCGAUUGCGAAGGCAGCUUACU
rnacentral:rRNA from 1 species